UACUAAGCCGUGUCUCCAGUUCCCCUGCCCCC
rnacentral:piRNA from 1 species